CCUACGGGAGGCAGCAGUGAGGAAUAUUGGUCAAUGGACGAGAGUCUGAACCAGCCAAGUAGCGUGAAGGAUGACUGCCCUAUGGGUUGUAAACUUCUUUUAUAUGGGAAUAAAACGUUCCACGUGUGGGAUUUUGUAUGUACAAUAUGAAUAAGGAUCGGCUAACUCCGUGCCAGCAGCCGCGGUAAUACGGAGGAUACGAGCGUUAUCCGGAUUUAUUGGGUUUAAAGGGAGCGUAGGUGGAUUGUUAAGUCAGUUGUGAAAGUUUGCGGCUCAACCGUAAAAUUGCAGUUGAAACUGGCAGUCUUGAGUACAGUAGAGGUGGGCGGAAUUCGUGGUGUAGCGGUGAAAUGCUUAGAUAUCACGAAGAACUCCGAUUGCGAAGGCAGUUCACUGGACUGCAACUGACACUGAGGCUCGAAAGUGUGGGUAUCAAACAGGAUUAGAUACCCCUGUAGUC
rnacentral:rRNA from 1 species